rnacentral:rRNA from 1 species
AUGGAUACCAGGAGGUUCGGCUCCUCCUCGUCUUCCUCGUCACAUUCCUCCUCACGAUCUUCUUCCCACUCCUCCGGCUCUCCGGCGCUGCUCGGCGUCAAGGCCGAGCCCGCGACGGAGACGCCGCUCGACCGGCGCACUCGCAGCGCCGGCAUCGUCAUCAAUGAGGGCGGCCGGCGCGCCCCCUCGUCGGCUCCUCCGCGCUUCAUCAAGCCAAAGACGGAGCCGGGACUCGCGGCCGUGAAAACGGAGCCGGGGCUCCCCGCCGUGAAGACGGAGCACGGCGACGUGAAGCUCGACGACGAGGCGGCCCUGAAAUGGGCGCACAAGGACUUCCUCAAGAUGGAGAGGGAGCGGCAGUGCGUCGCCCUUUGGCGCUUCGAGCAGCGCCGCCGGGGCCAUGACGAAGGAGGAGUUGUCGUCCUCGACGACAGCGACGACGACGACGCACCGCCUCCGCCGCCACCAGUCCACCAUGGCUUCGCCGGGCAGGGCUCUAGCAGGGACGACCACGUCAAAGAGGAGAAGGCCGACGAUGAUGGCGGCGGCGACGAUGGCGACUACUCCGUGUUCAGCGAUUUCCUUUUUUAG